UACGAAGGGGGGCGAGCGUUGUUCGGAUUUACUGGGCGUAAAGGGCGCGUAGGCGGCCCGUUUUGUCAGGCGUGAAAGCCCUGGGCUCAACCUGGGAACUGCGCUUGGGACGGAUGGGCUUGAGAUCGGGAGAGGAGAGUGGAAUUCCCAGUGUAGAGGUGAAAUUCGUAGAUAUUGGGAAGAACACCGGUGGCGAAGGCGGCGCUCUGGACCGAGACUGACGCUGAGGCGCGAAAGCGUGGGGAGCAAACAGG
rnacentral:rRNA from 1 species